rnacentral:tRNA from 1 species
UGGGGUGUGGCUCAGCGGUAAAGCACUUGCUUCCCAUGUAUGAGGCCCUGGGUUUAAUUCUCAGCACCACAU